UGGAUAUUUAUGUCCAAUUAUUUUACAGUAUCUUGUUAGCAGUCCGUCUGAAAUAAAUCCCUUUCUUAUUGCUCGUGCGGUAGAUUGUUUUUCUGGGUUAAGUAGCGUCAGUAUCCAUUGUCUUACGUCUUCCAUAUCUGCUUGUCUUAGUUCUUUCGAAUUUGAAUAUAUCAUUUGGUGAUCUCUUGAAUAGUAGCUCCAUAUUGGAUUUCCGUUAGCGUAGUUAUUUGCUAGUUCUUGUAUGAUCGUAGCUAGUCCAAUAAGUCUUUUAUUUGCAUAAAAAUCUGGUAUCUCGAUUCUAGGUAUCUCUGGUUGUUGCGAAAUAUCUUCUGGUAUAAUCAUAUCUCUUGU
rnacentral:lncRNA from 1 species